rnacentral:tRNA from 2 species
CGGGGUGUGGCUCAGGUGGUAGAGCGCCACGUUAGGGACGUGGAGGCCGCAAGUUCAAGUCUUGUCACUCCGA